AUGUUCGAGUAUCUAAAUGUUGUCAGCAAGAUGUUUGAUAGUGAGGCUGAAGGCUAUGAAUUCUACAACAAAUAUGCUCUUGAAAAAGGUUUUAGUGUGAGGAAAAGCUACGUUGAGUGGGAUGGAUCCAACAAAUACAUAAUUUUAAGGAAAAUUGUGUGUAGUCGUCAAGGGUUUCGCGAAGAGAAGCACAUGAAAAGAAAGAUGGAAGAUAGAAAGAGGAGGCCACGAAGUUUAACUCGUGUUGGAUGUAAUGCUAAAUUGGUCAUUACGAGACAGGAGGAAACCGGUCGGUGGUUUGUCAAGGAUUUCAUCGAUGAGCACAACCAUCCUCUAGCCCCACGGGAUCUUUCUUGUCAGCUGCGUUCGCACAGACGAAUUAGCGAUGAGCAGAAAGCGGACAUUGUGGACAUGGAAAAAUGUGGGAUCCGCAAAUACCGUAUUAUGGAUAUUUUGUGCUUUCAAUACGGUGGAUCCUAA
rnacentral:rRNA from 1 species